GCUUCUAUGGCGCAGGGGUAACGCGUCGCACUUGUAGUUACUCUUCUACGAAGAUAUGCGAAGAUCCGCGGUUCGAAUCCGCGUGGAAGCA
rnacentral:tRNA from 1 species